UACCCGCAUAUUCUGUGAGCAGGGAAANCAGGGGAUCGCAAGACCUUGCGCUGAUUGAGCGGCCGAUAUCAGAUUAGCUAGUUGGUGAGGUAAAGGCUCACCAAGGCGACGAUCUGUAGCGGGUCUGAGAGGAUGAUCCGCCACACUGGAACUGAGACACGGUCCAGACUCCUACGGGAGGCAGCAGGUGGGGUAAUUUUGGACAAUGGGGGCAACCCUGAUCCAGCCAUGCCGCGUGAGUGAAGAAGGCCUUCGGGUUGUAAAGCACUUUCAGUGGGGAAGAACAGAUUCGGGUCAAUACCCCGGAGCCCUGACGUUACCCACAGAAGAAGCACCGGCUAACUCCGUG
rnacentral:rRNA from 1 species